UCCUUUGGGUCAAGGUCGGUCUGAAUCUAGGUAACGUGGGUCUUUCUAGUUGCACCUCCCAGCCUUGACUAUUGUACCUCCGUUGCUACGGCGGGCCCGCCAACGUUUGCUGGCCGCCGGGGGGCGACUCGCCCCCGGGCCCGUGCCCGCCGGAGACCCCAACAUGAACCCUGUUCUGAAAGCUUGCAGUCUGAGUGUGAUUCUUUGCAAUCAGUUAAAACUUUCAACAAUGGAUCUCUUGGUUCCGGCAUCGAUGAAGAACGCAGCGAAAUGCGAUAACUAAUGUGAAUUGCAGAAUUCAGUGAAUCAUCGAGUCUUUGAACGCACAUUGCGCCCCCUGGUAUUCCGGGGGGCAUGCCUGUCCGAGCGUCAUUGCUGCCCUCAAGCCCGGCUUGUGUGUUGGGCCCUCGUCCCCCGGCUCCCGGGGGACGGGCCCGAAAGGCAGCGGCGGCACCGCGUCCGGUCCUCGAGCGUAUGGGGCUUCGUCUUCCGCUCCGUAGGCCCGGCCGGCGCCCGCCGACGCAUUUAUUUGCAACUUGUUUUUUUCCAGGUUGACCUCGGAUCAGGUAGGGAUACCCGCUGAACUUAAGCAUAUCAUAAACCGAAGGAAACCUGAAACUUAUGAAUAAUCGGUAAAGAAUGCUAGAUUCCCGGGUGAAGUGGGGAAAGACCAAGAGAACUCGAGG
rnacentral:rRNA from 1 species